rnacentral:tRNA from 1 species
GCGUCUGUAGCUCAGUUCGGAUAGAGCAGUGGUUUCCUAAACCAUUGGUCGCAGGUUCGAGUCCUGCCAGGCGCACCA